UUUUAGAUAAGUACUGAUAGAUACAAAACAUUUUCCUACCUUUAUGAAAUUGAUUGGACUAUCAAAGCUACUUUUGUGAGGAAAGAUAUUCCAACACGGAUUCCAGGACGACAAAGAUAAGUAACAGAAAGCCAUGAAAUCGUUUUUUAAAGAAAAAGAAAUAUUGAAUACCUUGAAUACGACAUAUUUGAACAACACUACCAGCAAUGGAGAAAAUUUCCAGGCGUGGAACGAGGAAUUGAGAAAUAUUCUUCACUCACGAGUUCUAGACAAUAAAACCAUAGAAGAAGACUUCCGAUACCUCAGAGAGCAUAGACUACUAAAUCCGGGCUUUUUAAUAGACGUUUUGACUUACGUAGAUCACAAAGCAGUCAGAUAUAUUCAACAACAGCGGUGGCACAGGCGAAGUCAGCGUGAAAAAGAAAAAUUAGAAGAUUCCAGAUAGCGAUGUUUGUGGUUGUUUUCUAUUGGUUAGGAAGGAUAAUUUACGUUAAGGCAGCCCAGACGCUGCGUGACUUGUGUGGAACAAACUAAUUUUAUGCUUUUAUAGGAGUUAUGAGAUUGAUCACUGUUCGUUAUCUUCACCUUGCAUGAUGAAUGCUUAUGAAUGCUUCGAAUGGUUGAUAUUAAAAGUGAAAUAUUA